GAUGAACGCUGGCGGCGUGCCUAAUACAUGCAAGUCGAGCGAACGGACGAGAAGCUUGCUUUUCUGAUGUUAGCGGCGGACGGGUGAGUAACACGUGGAUAACCUACCUAUAAGACUGGGAUAACUUCGGGAAACCGGAGCUAAUACCGGAUAAUAUUUUGAACCGCAUGGUUCAAAAGUGAAAGACGGUCUUGCUGUCACUUAUAGAUGGAUCCGCGCUGCAUUAGCUAGUUGGUAAGGUAACGGCUUACCAAGGCAACGAUGCAUAGCCGACCUGAGAGGGUGAUCGGCCACACUGGAACUGAGACACGGUCCAGACUCCUACGGGAGGCAGCAGUAGGGAAUCUUCGGCAAAGGGCGAAAGCCUGACGGAGCAACGCCGCGUGAGUGAUGAAGGUCUUCGGAUCGUAAAACUCUGUUAUUAGGGAAGAACAUAUGUGUAAGUAACUGUGCACAUCUUGACGGUACCUAAUCAGAAAGCCACGGCUAACUACGUG
rnacentral:rRNA from 1 species